UACGUAGGGUGCGAGCGUUGCCCGGAUUUAUUGGGCGUAAAGGGCGCGUAGGCGGUGGUGCACGUCCGUUGUGAAAUCGCCCGGCUCAACUGGGCGGGGUCAGCGGAUACGGCACGACUUGAGCAAGCUAGGGGGCAAUGGAACUCCCGGUGUAGUGGUGGAAUGCGUAGAUAUCGGGAAGAACACCAGUGGCGAAGGCGGUUGCCUGGAGCUUUGCUGACGCUGAGGCGCGAAAGCGUGGGGAGCGAUCCGG
rnacentral:rRNA from 1 species